rnacentral:rRNA from 1 species
CCUACGGGAGGCAGCAGUAAGGAAUAUUGGACAAUGGACGCAAGUCAGAUCCAGCCAUGCCGCGUGAAGGAUUAAGGCCCUCUGGGUUGUAAACUUCUUUUAUAGGGGACGAAAAAAGGGCUUUCUAGCUCGACUGACGGUACCCUAUGAAUAAGCACCGGCUAACUCCGUGCCAGCAGCCGCGGUAAUACGGAGGGUGCAAGCGUUAUCCGGAUUCACUGGGUUUAAAGGGUGCGUAGGCGGGCAUUUAAGUCAGUGGUGAAAUCUUCGAGCUCAACUCGGAAACUGCCAUUGAUACUAUUUGUCUUGAAUAUUGUGGAGGUGAGCGGAAUAUGUCAUGUAGCGGUGAAAUGCUUAGAUAUGACAUAGAACACCGAUUGCGAAGGCAGCUCGCUACACAAAUAUUGACGCUGAGGCACGAAAGCGUGGGGAUCAAACAGGAUUAGAUACCCUGGUAGUCCACGCCCUAAACUAUGGAUACUCGACAUUUGCGAUACACAGUAAGUGUCUGAGCGAAAGCAUUAAGUAUCCCACCUGGAAGUACGACCGCAAGGUUGAAACUCAAAUGAGUAGAGAGNGAGAGNGCGACGGACGACGACGAGGGAGAGG